rnacentral:rRNA from 1 species
UACGUAGGGACCGAGCGUUGUCCGGAAUCAUUGGGCGUAAAGAGCGUGUAGGCGGCCCCUUAAGUCCUGCGUGAAAUCCUGCGGCUCAACCGCAGACGGUCGUGGGAAACUGGAGGGCUAGAGUGCGGGAGAGGAGAGUGGAAUUCCCGGUGUAGCGGUGAAAUGCGCAGAUAUCGGGAAGAACACCCGUGGCGAAGGCGGCAUCCUGGACCGGCAUUGACGCUGAGGCGCGAAAGCCAGGGGAGCAAACGGG